AGCGAACGCUGACGGCAGGCUUAACACAUGCAAGUCGAGCGGGCAUCCUUGUGGUGUCAGCGGCAGACGGGUGAGUAACGCGUGGGAACGUGCCCUUCGGUUCGGAAUAACUCAGGGAAACUUGAGCUAAUACCGGAUACGUGCGAGAGCAGAAAGGUUUAUCUGCCGAAGGAUCGGCCCGCGUCUGAUUAGCUAGUUGGUGAGGUUAUGGCUCACCAAGGCGACGAUCAGUAGCUGGUCUGAGAGGAUGAUCAGCCACACUGGGACUGAGACACGGCCCAGACUCCUACGGGAGGCAGCAGUGGGGAAUAUUGGACAAUGGGGGCAACCCUGAUCCAGCCAUGCCGCGUGAGUGAUGACGGCCUUAGGGUUGUAAAGCUCUUUUCUCCGGGACGAUAAUGACGGUACCGGAGGAAUAAGCCCCGGCUAACUUCGUG
rnacentral:rRNA from 1 species